rnacentral:rRNA from 1 species
UACGUAGGUGGCAAGCGUUGUCCGGAUUUAAUUGGGUUUAAAGGGUGCGUAGGCGGCCCUGUAAGUCAGUGCUGAAAUAUCCCGGCUUAACCGGGAGGGUGGCAUUGAUGACCUGCGGAGCUUGAGUACAGAUGAGGUAGGCGGAAUUGACGGUGUAGCGGUGAAAUGCUUAGAUAUCGUCAAGAACACCUAGAGCGAAGGCAGCUUACUAGGCUGUAACUGACGCUGAGGCACGAAAGUGUGGGAUCAA